rnacentral:rRNA from 1 species
GCAUAUCAAUAAGCGGAGGAAAAGAAACCAACAGGGAUUGCCUCAGUAACGGCGAGUGAGCGGCAAAAGCUCAAAUUUGAAAUCUAGCACCUUCGGUGUUUGAGUUGUAAUUUGAAGAUGGUAACCUUGGGUUUGGCUCUUGUCUAUGUUCCUUGGAACAGGACGUCAUAGAGGGUGAGAAUCCCGUCUGAUGAGAUGCCCAUUCCUAUGUAAGGUGCUAUCGAAGAGUCGAGUUGUUUGGGAAUGCAGCUCUAAGUGGGUGGUAAAUUCCAUCUAAAGCUAAAUAUUGGCGAGAGACCGAUAGCGAACAAGUACAGUGAUGGAAAGAUGAAAAGAACUUUGAAAAGAGAGUGAAAAAGUACGUGAAAUUGUUGAAAGGGAAGGGCAUUAGAUCAGACUUGGUGUUUUACGAUUAUCUUCUCUUCUUGAGUUGUGCACUCGUAUUUCACUGGGCCAGCAUCGAUUCGGAUGGCAAGAUAAUGGCAGUUGAAUGUGGCUUCACUUCGGUGGAGUGUUAUAGCUUCUGCUGAUAUUGCCUGUCUGGAUCGAGGGCUGCGUCUUUUGACUAGGAUGCUGGCGUAAUGAUCUAAUGCCGCCCGUCUUGAAACACGGACC